rnacentral:rRNA from 1 species
GACGAACGCUGGCGGCGUGCCUAACACAUGCAAGUCGAACGGAGAUACGAUUUCGGUUGUAUCUUAGUGGCGAACGGGUGAGUAACGCGUGAGCAACCUGACCUUUAGAGGGGGAUAACACUUGGAAACAGGUGCUAAUACCGCAUAAGACCACGACCCGACAUCGGGAUGAGGUCAAAGGAGAAAGCGGCUAAAGGAGGGGCUCGCGUCCCGUGCGAUAGAUGGCGGGGUAACGGCCCACCAUGUCGACGAUGGGUAGCCGAGCUGAGAGGCUGAUCGGCCACACUGGAACUGAGACACGGUCCAGACUCCUACGGGGGGCAGCAGUGGGGAAUAUUGGGCAAUGGGCGCAAACCUGACCCAGCAACGCCGCGUGAGGGAAGAAGGUCUUCGGAUUGUAAACCUCUGUCCUUGGUGACGAAACAAAUGACGGUAGCCAAGGAGGAAGCCCCGGCUAACUACGUGCCAGCAGCCGCCGCAG